rnacentral:rRNA from 1 species
CAGCCGUAAACAAUGUGCGUUAGGUGUGUCGGUAACCACGCGUUACUGAUGCGCCGAAGAGAAAUCGUGAAACGCACCACCUGGGAAGUACGGUCGCAAGGCUGAAACUUAAAGGAAUUGGCGGGGGGAGCACCACAACAGGUGGAGCCUGCGGUUUAAUUGGAUUCAACGCCGGACAUCUCACCGGAUAAGACAGCUGAGUGAUUGUCAAUCUGAAGGUUUUACAUGACUAGCUGAGAGGAGGUGCAUGGCGUCAGUGACU